rnacentral:rRNA from 1 species
GAUGAACGCUGGCGGCGUGCUUAAUACAUGCAAGUCGAACGAAGUUUGUAGCAAUACAUUCUUAGUGGCGAACGGGUGAGUAACGCGUUGGUGACCUGCCCCGAAGAGGGGGAUAACAGUCCGAAAGGACUGCUAAUACCCCAUGUGAUCCCCGGUUUUAGAAUCUGGUGAUUAAAGGCGAAAGUCGCUUCGGGAGGGGCCUGCGUCCCAUCAGCUAGUUGGUAGGGUAAUGGCCUACCAAGGCUAUGACGGGUAGGGGACCUGAGAGGGUGGCCCCCACAAUGGAACUGAAACACGGUCCAUACACCUACGGGUGGCAGCAGUAGGGAAUAUUGGUAAUGGGCGAAAGCCUGAACCAGCAACGCCGCGUGUGCGAUGAAGGCCUUCGGGUCGUAAGCACUUUUGGUAGGGAGUGAGGAAGGACAGUACCUCCAGAAUAAGACUCGGCUAACUACGUGCCAGCAGCGCGUAAACUAGUCUACG